AGAGCUAAUACACGCAAUCAAGCUCCAAUCUACGAGCGGAGCGCAUUUAUUAGAACCGGGCUUGCCCGUGCGUUUGGUGAAUCUGAAUAACUCAGUUGAUCGCAGCACUGGCGACGUAUCUUUCAAGUGUCUGCCUUAUCAACUGUCGAUGGUAGUUUAUAUGACUACCAUGGUUGUAACGGGUAACGGAGAAUAAGGGUUCGACUCCGGAGAGGGAGCCUGAGAAACGGCUACCACAU
rnacentral:rRNA from 1 species